AACCAGUAAGUAUACAAAAGGCUAUGUCUACCUCUUUGUUGCUUUCUGCUAUGGCAGGAUUCUUCUUGUUUUAUCCUUGAAGCCAUUGUAUUGUUUUUUGAAGGGCAUGAUGCGUAUAAAAAAUGGAGGCUGCAAGUAACGGAAAGAUGCCUGUUCUGGAAAAUGUGGAACUGGAAGGGAUGGAGGUGCUUCAAGAGACUUUCUAUCUACUCAAUUAAGACUUCAAACUUCAGGUUCAAACCCAUAGGGCACAGGAAUGGACUUGUGAGUCUUUACAAAGAUAUGGAGUCUUGUGGAGAAUAUGCAGAUAUCCAAGUCAUGUGGAAAAUGAUUGAAUCUUCUUCUACACAUGGCUUCAAGAAGAAAAAGGCCAAUAGCUUUUCACUCUGGGUGAUCUGUUUCAGGCCAGCUUGAGUUUUUUCUUGCUCAUAAGCUAAAUGGUCCUAAGUUUCUUCAUGGAUCGAUAGAAGUAGAGAGAGAAGGGAAAUCAGAACUUGCUUGAUGUCUAUAUACAGUUCAUAUCAAUUCCAUUACUUCUGAGCCCGAUAUCUAUCAGGUCAUUUAGAUAUCUAUCAGGUCAUUUAGUUUGGUAAGUGAAAGUGAAUGAUCAGAGUCCAAAUUUGAAUCCCAUGUAGAAGCUAGUUUCUGA